rnacentral:rRNA from 1 species
CUCGUAGGCGGUUCGUCGCGUCCGGUGUGAAAGUCCAUCGCUUAACGGUGGAUCCGCGCCGGGUACGGGCGGGCUUGAGUGCGGUAGGGGAGACUGGAAUUCCCGGUGUAACGGUGGAAUGUGUAGAUAUCGAGAAGAACACCAAUGGCGAAGGCAGGUCUCUGGGCCGUCACUGACGCUGAGGAGCGAAAGCGUGGGGAGCGAACA